rnacentral:rRNA from 1 species
UCCUACGGGAGGCAGCAGUGGGGAAUAUUGCACAAUGGGCGCAAGCCUGAUGCAGCCAUGCCGCGUGUGUGAAGAAGGCCUUCGGGUUGUAAAGCACUUUCAGUCAGGAGGAAAGGUUAGUAGUUAAUACCUGCUAGCUGUGACGUUACUGACAGAAGAAGCACCGGCUAACUCCGUGCCAGCAGCCGCGGUAAUACGGAGGGUGCGAGCGUUAAUCGGAAUUACUGGGCGUAAAGCGUACGCAGGCGGUUUGUUAAGCGAGAUGUGAAAGCCCCGGGCUCAACCUGGGAACUGCAUUUCGAACUGGCAAACUAGAGUGUGAUAGAGGGUGGUAGAAUUUCAGGUGUAGCGGUGAAAUGCGUAGAGAUCUGAAGGAAUACCGAUGGCGAAGGCAGCCACCUGGGUCAACACUGACGCUCAUGUACGAAAGCGUGGGGAGCAAACAGGAUUAGAUACCCUGGUAGUCCACGCCGUAAACGAUGUCUACUAGAAGCUCGGAACCUCGGUUCUGUUUUUCAAAGCUAACGCAUUAAGUAGACCGCCUGGGGAGUACGGCCGCAAGGUUAAAACUCAAAUGAAUUGACGGA